GGCAAUAUAGCUGGAUAAAGUAUCUUCGUCCAAGACCAAGAGAAACACAGUCAAUAGCAGGAAUGAUGAAAGGCAUCAAGCAAAGUGGGGAUGCAGAUGAGAAAACAAGAUCAGAAGACAGAAAUAUCUGAAACAAGUCACAAAUGCAUAGUAUGAGCUCUCAGUGAAUGUACAAGUUACAGGUGGAAUUAAGUGCUCUGCAGAAAGGAGCAUGAGUCUGUGAGAGGAACAGAGGACCAUAUGCUUACCUAGGAACCAAGGAAGACUUCCCUGAGAACUUAACCCUUGUUUGGACUCUGUUGUCUUUAUGCUAAGAAUUUUAAUAAGGAGCAGAUAAUAGACAUGAUCCAGUGCACAUUUUUAGAGGAAUAUCACGAGUCCUAUCCCUUCACCUUCUAAAUAUUUCUGAUAUGUGUUCCUUCUCCAUCCUCAUGACCUUCACUGGCAUGGGCCUCCAUCAGCUCACUGUGGGGGAAGUUUCACUCAAGGGGCACUGAUAACACAUCUCAUUAAAACUAUACCACAUCAUUAUACCUCCCCAACAUAAUAUUUACAUGUAUUUAUUUGACUAUAUAUGGAUUACUAUCCUAUUUAUUACAUAUAUUAAGAGCAUACACAAAAAAUUAAAAAUCCAAAUGGUAAGAUUUUACAUUUUAGAUUUAUUUGAUAAUAAUACUUUAUUCUAUUACUAAACAUAUAUUCCUAAUUGUCAUUAAGAUAUCAUGUUAGAAAAAUUUGCUCUACUAUACCAUACCAUUUUUUAAAAUCUUAGUUUAAUACUCUGUAACACAGCAAUUAACAAAUCUACUUCCAAAUUUGGCUUAUUUUGAUUCUUUCAUUUAAUGACUGUCAUAGCUGAAAAAGGACCCCAUAGAGACCCAACAGAGGCAGUGCCCUAUUGGCUAUACCUCCCAAAUAAAGCCAUUUAUUUCUCAAUCUCAUUCACUAAUUUACAAAGAUUUACUUAUUUUUCAUUGUUAGUCUGCAAAUGUACACUUAAAUGAGGGUUAUCCUUAAUAAUUAGUAUGUGAAUAAGAAUAUGACAUCUACCUUUGUGAAACUUGCACAUUACAGAAGCUCAAUAAAUAUUUGUUGAAUGAAUAAAUGAGUAAAUAGAAUAUUUUUACAAUUAAGUAGCUUUAAUUAUUUUAUAUUUAAAUUUCAAGUCUUUAGAGGAGAAGGAAUUGAAAAAAUAUGAAAUAUCAAAUAUACGUUUAGCUACGUUUUUAAAGGUUAGUAGCCUAUAUGCACAAAUCAAAUGAGUAGCAAUUUUUGGAGCUGUAACUAUUUUUGGAAUCUUGCGUGAAUAAAUUACAAUUUUAAAACAUCAAGAAUAAGUGCCCAUUGAAUGUCAUUUUUUAAAAGGAAAAAAGAAACCUCAGUCUCUAUUUAAAAAGUAACAUAUUUAACAGUUUUCUAGUUUAUGCAAAUUAUCUGGAAAACUCAGAACCCCAACCACCAAAAGAUUACCUUCCAUAACAGUAAGUGUGGUUUUGGCUUCCAGAAUCAUCUGGAUAAGUGCCAGCAUUCUCCAAGUCACAUUCUUGGUAUGAAAUGAACUUUUGUAAAUGGAGUCUAAUUAAAUCUUGUGCUAAAAAGAA